rnacentral:rRNA from 1 species
AGUGAACGCUGGCGGUAGGCCUAACACAUGCAAGUCGAACGGCAGCACAGUAAGAGCUUGCUCUUACGGUUGGCGAGUGGCGGACGGGUGAGGAAUACAUCGGAAUCUACUUUUUCGUGGGGGAUAACGUAGGGAAACUUACGCUAAUACCGCAUACGACCUACGGGUGAAAGCAGGGGAUCUUCGGACCUUGCGCGAUUGAAUGAGCCGAUGUCGGAUUAGCUAGUUGGCGGGGUAAAGGCCCACCAAGGCGACGAUCCGUAGCUGGUCUGAGAGGAUGAUCAGCCACACUGGAACUGAGACACGGUCCAGACUCCUACGGGAGGCAGCAGUGGGGAAUCUUGCACAAUGGGCGCAAGCCUGACCCAGCCAUGCCGCGUGAGUGAAGAAGGCCUUCGGGUUGUAAAACCCUUUUGUUGGGAAAGAACAGCAGCAGGUUAAACCACCGCCGUCCUGACGGUACCCAAAGAGUAAGCCCCGGCUAACUUCGUG